UCGGAUUUAGCUCAGUGGUAGAGCGCUUGCCUAGCAAGUGCAAAGCCCUGGGUUCGGUCCCCAGCUCCGAA
rnacentral:tRNA from 1 species